AAAUGACUGAAUAUUUUUCUGCUCUUGAUAAUUCCAAGAAGAAAAGUUCCUUGCUUGUGAUGUUAUUGAUUUCUAAUUUAUUCUUUUUUCCACUCUCUUUUUCCUUUCACAAAUGGAUACCAAUCACAUUUACUACUGGACUGCAAUAUUUCUCCUUGAAAACACUGCUGCUGACUGAAAUCACUUUGGGUGGACCAAAUUCCCCCCUGUGCCUGCUCCUGAAUGACCUCUUCCAAUCCCCCAAAUCUACCUCUCUGGCCAAUCAAAACUUACCUCGGUGUGUCACGCUGCCCUCCACUCUACUCCCCCUCUCUCUUGCUGACUUCCGGAAAAGCAACGGAAGAGUCCUGGGCAGAAGGAGGCUUCUGUAUGCUUGUGAAAAAGAACAAUCUAUGU
rnacentral:lncRNA from 1 species